GAAGAAUUGUGAUAGGAUUAUACGGGCAAGUUGUACCAAAAACUGUUGAGAAUUUCAGGGCGUUGUGCACAGGGGAAAUGGGCAAGACUGCUGAUGGAAUAUCUCUUCACUACAAGGGAAAGCCAUUUCAUCGUAUAAUACCUGGAUUCAUGAUUCAAGGUGGAGAUAUUGUGUCAGCCGAUGGAAGGGGAAACAUUUCCAUUUAUGGUGGUCCCUUUCCUGAUGAGAAUCUCAAGAUAAAGCAUUCUCAUGCAGGUGUUAUAUCCAUGGUGAACUCAGGACCCAACUCCAAUGGUUGUCAGUUCUUUAUACCGACAGUUAAGGCGAGUUGGUUGGACGGGGAGCAUGUGGUGUUUGGCAAGGUUAUUGAAGGUAUGGACACAGUAUAUGCAAUUGAGGGCGGAGCAGGAACUUACAGUGGCAAACCUAGGAAAAAGGUGCUUAUCGCAGAUUCAGGGGAAAUACCUAAGAGCAAGUGGGAUGAGGACAACCAGAGUUCAGCUUCAUAAAUAUCGUCAAAAUUUUGAAGUUACUAACCAGCCCUAUAUACAUUCUGAUACACGUACCAUUCUUGUGUAUUACAAGCUUAAUU
rnacentral:misc_RNA from 1 species